GGGGACUUUUUUGUUUGCCUUUUUGCAUAUUCUUCUCUACUCCCUGUAUUACUGUGAAAAUCAAGAAUUAGGGCAGAUGUUGAUACAAUAUGAAGUAACUGUAUAACCUUAAACUAAUGCAGUCCUCCGAAAUUUACAGUAGACCAGGAAAAUAUCCACUGGUUCCAUGUUUUAUUUCAAAAAUCUUAUUAUAACAUCAUUCGUGCCAUUAUCUCAGUAACACGAGACAGAGAACCUGAUAUAAAAAAAACGAACAAAAAAACACUUGAUGCAGGAUUAUGCAUUAUCUCGCUCACUAUGUUUUGUGGAAAAACACAUUAUUUUCAUAGUGUUGUACAUGUCAAACAUAAUUGGCAUUGCAAUCAUGGUCAGUGACCAGAAAAUGCAAAGAUGAGAAUGAGCGAACGUCAGACACAAGUCUGGUACUGAAAUAAUAACAAUUAGCUAGUUACAUAACAGUUACAUGGAAAUCCACAUUUCUGUAAAAUGUGCUCUUUUACGUUAGAAUAACUUAUAUGAAGUUUGUACGCUUAUUUUAAACAUCACUGUUUAAAAAAAAUUUAUAUUUUCAAAAUAAUUAUAAAAAUGAUAUACAAAAAUAAGUACAAUUAGGGAAAUGUACUCUGAAAAGAAUAGGAGUAGAAACUGCAAAGUCAUUGAAAUGUCAUCCAUGUUGACAUGUCAUAACGGUGUCAUCAAGUGACACAACAUGACAAGUUCAUGUUCAGCAUUUACGACAUCUAGUACAAUAUACCUAUUAGUUAUACCACACACAUCCAGUUUACCAUUAAGGAGAAGGUCGCUGGGUGGCCAUACACACAGGAAAACUUAUAGAAGAUUCUGAAUUUUAAUAUCCCAUGUGCUGGAAAAUAUGUAAUGAAAAUGGAAAAUCAUACACGUCUCUCUGAGAAAAAGUAAAUAGAAAUAUUUUUUAGUAAUAUGUCUGACCUCCUGCUCCUAAAUCAAAGAGGACAAAGUAAUAUAUUAUAUACAACUUAUAGAAGGUGCCAAAAAUAUACCAAUUUAUACUAAAACAAAAAUACCCUUUCCUGCAGCAUAUUUGUUCUUCAGGGGUAACUCCAGUUUUAAUACAGAUAUAUGUAAAUUUCCGAUAAGAAAAAUGAACUCUAAAAGCAAGCGAACACACUCCGUAGGGUAAUAAUCUGAGCACCUAGAACAACAGUGGACAUUCAUAUCUGCACUCACAUGUAUAGAUGAUAAUGUGCUUUGAUGUGCUUUGAUGGAGGCACCAUGUUUGAGUGGAUAGUUAUGUGCAUGUGUGAGAGUGCUCUGCUUUUUAUUUUUGUUUUUCAGGGUCUGGGAGUGAACCAAUGAUGUAACGUCAAUGAGAAAAAAUGUGGAGCUUGAAUUAAUUAAGGGGUGGGGUGUAUGUGUAUCCAGGAGCAGGAUCUCGGUGGAGGAACCAUCCAGUUUUUCUUUGGGUUCCAACCCCAGUUGGAUGUGCAAUCUAGCAGUGCUACUGAGUACCAUAGUGUGCCUGGCACUGUAAUGGCUCUCUGCUUUUUUUUUUUUUUUUUUUUUACAUAGCAUCAAUUAACUCUUUGAACAUCCCAAACACAUCUUGCCAAUAUUUAUGGUUACUAAUGUAUUCAUGCAGAUUGCAUCGAUCAAACAUGGCUGUUCUUUGUAAAUAUAUAAACGUUUCAUCCCAUUUCUUACUUGAGAAUCGAGGAAGAUGCUAAAGGAUUAUUAUAAGGUGGUAUCUGUGAAUGCUUUGUGUCGACAUGGUUAAUGAAGUAUAUGUCAAAGUGAAUGCAUACAUGGCAGUAUCAAAUGCAGCCCAAUUUUUCUGUGCAAUUUGAUACAUUUAUUAAUUUAUCUAUUUAUAAAAUACUUUUACCUGUGUUGUAAAGUACAACUAAAGUACGAGGCAAAUAAUAGCACUUUUAAUUAUUUCCCCUGAAAAGCAAACAAAGAUUUUACACCCAGAGAUCGACUCUACAUCAGGAGGACCGAAAUAUCUCAUCAACUAAUAUAUACUGAAACAUUUUUGUCUGUUAUGGUUACAUGAUUAUACAUGUAUUGUAUGAAAAAAUAUCAAGAAAUCCGUGCCUGGAACAUCACAAACAGCUCUCAAUUUAAACCAGCUGUUAUCAGUUGAUGGAGAUCACACGACCAUCUAUACCUUAUAUCUACAAUAUUUACAGCACUCCCACUGGGUCUUUGUGUGAAAAAUGCAUCCAAGAAAAAAUAUUUAGCAUAAAAGAUCCAUUUGAUUGUUUCAAUGCAGAGAUAUGUUGUCUCAAAGCAUUCAAGCAGAGAGAGUUAUAUACCACAUUAGUUUAUCAUGAGCCAAACAAGGAGGACAUCUUCCAUUUGGCACCAGUCUGUAUGAGGUUCGGAGACUUUUGAGAAAAGAGGGCAACCUUGGACAUUUAGGAAUAACAUUUGUCAAGACUGGUAUUUUUACAAGGGGCUUGAAUGGAGCAUUUUGAACAUGCAACAUUUUUUUUUAUACUCACUUACAUAUUUGUUUAUUGUAAGCAAUUCUAUAUCAGACACUAUACAUGGUACAUACAUACCCUACAUUCAGAAUACGGGAUAUUUUUCAAUUAUGCCCUUUUUCCUGAAAUAAUUAAUUUUCUUCCACAAAGCUGUAAAUGGAUCUGUUGGCUCAAACAGUUAUCUUUCUUCAGUUUUAAAACACAUUUUUGUUAUUUAAGACUUGUGUAUGACUUCUAUUUUACAAUACUAGCGACAGGACCGGGUUAAGAGGCUAUUGGAGGUGGUGCCGGAGAGAAACUCAUAAUGCAUUUAUAAGAAUAAACUUACUCUGUGCUAAUCUCUUGCUUUCAUUUCUCAACCAAAUCCAUACACCUCAACAUUGACAUUCUGUGAAGCGGGAUAUCGGUGUGCGGGGUAAAAGAAGUUGGGUUAGUGAUGCAAAUCACUGCCCAAAGGAGCAGACCGGAAAGGGGCAGGUCAACCUGAAGCAUUGGAAGGUCAGUCUGGUGUAACUGCAAGCCAGACUGCCUUCCAAUCACACAGGGUGGCCUACGAAGGAUGGACAAGGCAGACUGCGCUGUUUCACCACUCUGAACUUGGCAUGAAUGCGUCUGAGGCCCUCACUCUACGAUUUCGGGGGCAGUUCGCAGGUGUCCCUGAGCACUCAAUUGUCCACUUCUUUCCUUCCCUUCAUGCUAGCAGGCAGAAGCUCCCAGAAUGCAGACUAAGAUAGAGAAAAAGGUGGAUGUAGUGAGUGUAGAAUUAAGGGGGACAUGGCACAUUGAUAGAGAGUUUGAAACAGACAGUGAUAGACAGUGUGCAAAGUCAGCUUUACCCUAACUAGUUUAUGGUCAGCCAGUCCACAAACGUUUUUGUUUUGUUGUUUUAAUCAAUGGGCCUAAUUCAGGGGUGCCAAGGCAUUAGCUCCCCAGAUGUAAAACUACAGCUUCCAUGAUGCCUUGUCAUUCAAAAAGCAUGCAAACACAUGGAAAGCAUCAUGGGAAUUGUGGUUCUACAGCACCUGGGGAUCUACCUUUUGGGCAACCCUUGCAUAAUUCAGGGGCAUGGGCCUGGACUUUCAGCUCCAUUAGCCCCUAUGUUAAUACAGCUCUGACUAGUGAUCUUUUUAUCAAUGUAUAUAUUAUUUUUUACUUUGUUAUCUACUUUGUUUUGAUAUGUUUUUCGAUGUGUCCAGCAUUUUUAAAUAAAAUAUAUUACAUCAUUUCAACCUAUCCUGUCCACACAUAAUGUGUACCACUAUCAUCAGUAAAAAGUACAUGUCGGCCUGGUAGUGACACCAAUAUUUUUUUAUGAACUAUAAAGAUAAAUAAAAUGCAAAAGAAAGUGUAAAAUUUCAAAUAAAAUAUACUUUAGAAGUCUCACAACUGCUACAAAUCAACAGGUAUACAACAACAACAGUGGUGAGAUCUGGCCAGACCACAAAGACGCUCUUAAAGUCAACCACAGUCCCUCAGAUAUUUAUGGGAUAUGUAGUUCAGCCUCCAGUAACAAUUCUGUUCACCAGAUCAUAUGAGCAAAAUUGCUGAAUAAGAUGAUUGCCAUAAACAUAAUGCUAUCAUUUUAUUGACAGAUGUGUUCACAAUUCUAUGAAUGGAAUUGGACAUAGCAUUUGAUCUAGCCACCAAUCACUAAUUAGUCAAGCUUUCUUAAACCUGGUGAAAGGAGGUAGAAAUGUCAGCAGCAUGCAUAGUGUGCGUAUGCCGUAAAAUAAGUACAACAUCCUCCUCUGCAUAUAGCUAUGAGUUUUGCAGAUUGAAGCAGUUGCAAGCAAGUGCGUGCAAGGUGAAAGGAACGUGGCACCUACUUGCACCAUAACCUAUGCAAUGAGUAAAUGUUGUUAUGGUACAUGAUGUGUCCCUUUAAAUUAACAUUUUCCUUUUCCUUUCAGUGUAGAAUGCUGAAAGCAUUAUGUCAUCAUAUACUAUGAGACUAAACCUAGUAUAAUCCUUGUUAUAUCAAAAUAAUAUUGGUCUGUUGGAAAAUGAUAUAUAAAGAAAACGAGACAGAGACAUUUCAAGUGUGGUUUGUUUUGUUUAGUUUUUUUGUAGGUUAUACCUUGAAUUAUCUGCACUUUACACAGUUGUAUUUAAUUGCUGUUUGUCAAAAAUGUUUGUACUCAAUAAAAAAAAUAGAACAGUACACACUAUACAAAUCGGCUCACAAUGUUAAUUAAUCAAUUGCAUGUUAAUUACAAAAAUCUGUAAAUUCGGUAGGAAUAUUUUUUAGACACAAGUUAUAAUUGGUAAGUACACCAUGGAUUGUACCCAAUUUUUAUAUGCAAAACAAAAAUCAUUAAUAAUGUUAUCUGUUAUUUGUACAGUGCCAAUAUAUUCCCCAGUGCUCUACAAAUGUAUACUAAUUAUAUGAAACUUUUUAAGAUUUUUAUAUUGGGUUUUAUGCAUCUGAACGCACUCGGUUUAAGACAUUAUUUCUAUCAAAAUUUCUUAAAAGCAC